GUUCUACUGCCGAGUGGAAAGUGGAACGACGUCAGUUUAUUUUUCCAUCAGAAAAUAAAUUUCCUCGGCGUAUUUUACAUUGCACAUAUCUUGCAAUAAUUAUUUCUCUUAACAGUUACGAGUCGAAAAUUACACCGAGCACGAUACUAAUUAUUCGUAUUACCUAUAAAGAAAUUACACAUUAAGAAUACGUUAGGAGUGAAUGUGAUACGCGAUUUGUUCGUAAACAUGGAAUUAAUUUAUUUCAAUAUGAAAACGAUAUCAUCGUUACGCAAUAAUGUACAAUUAUUAUUGCGAAUCUCUAUUCGAAAGGAAAAAGAAAAUGGAAAAGCCGAUAAUAGGAAAGCGGACGAAUUGUGCGUAGAUCUUCAUGGCUACUCGAGGUUGGAUGCGAAACCUUUGAAAAUAAUAAGACGGCAGAACAGAAAAUUAUACAAAGUUACGAUAGAUGAUAUUUGAGAAAAAAAUAUAGAGUAAGAUGUGAAAACAUAUUAACACUGAUACAUUUUUUCCGAGCGACACGACAAAUACUAGCUGCGAAGUACAGUGCUGUUCGAUUGUUUGCUCACUUACGUACGUGCUACUUACUGAAAGUACUGUUUGCUCGUCCAUUACCGUGUAAUGCUGUGCAAAGAGAAUCCAUUGGAAACACGAAGAGCGAGUGAGACAGAUCAACGCUAAUACUAACGUUUGAUCUAUCGGGUUGGCAACCGAGUGAUUGCGGAUUUUAUCAUUAAGUGGUAAUGACAAAAUCAGCGAUCACUCGACUGCCAACCCAAUAACAAUGAGAUAUUAUCGAUAGAAUACGUUCGACGAGUGAUUAGACGACGAAAGGAAUACGCGUGAAAAUCGAUUCAGUUUCGUCGAAUGAAUAACUUGAAAUCGUGGAUCGAAAGUUGGCGGCAUAUUAUAAAUGCAAAUUACAAUACAAAGGUUAAUGGGUAUAACGAAUUAUCAUAUAUUCUGUGAAUUGUUCCUGAGUAAAGCGGCGAGCGACAGAACGGUAAUAGUCCCAUUAAACACAUACAAGGUAACACGACCAAUUUACAACUGUAAUCACUCGUAACAACGUUGAAUUUAAUGGAACUUCAACUUUUGGAAUUAAACUUACCGAUUGUUCUUUUCACCGCCCCCCCCCACCCUUUACUUUCUUCCGAAUUUGCAAACCACCCUCGAGGUAGAAACGAAAUUACGUGAAAAAUUCGAGCGAUUCGCGUUUUAUGUUGGGAAACUCGGGAAAUCGUAACCAUUAGGAAUUCUUGUUUCGAAAUCCAAUAACAUAUUCCAGCGUCAUUGUAAAGCCGUUUUGCAACGUUUUUAUUAUUAUAGAAAGCGCGACAGGAGCGGGAAUAUGGGUCAGCGUUUGUACGCUCAUCUUGCGGCGUUUUAUAGCUCGAGAGAUAAAACCAGGUAUUCCGGGAUACGUUUUCUGAUAUUCGUUUUUGAUAAAACGAGCUGGCACGUGUGUUUCCGAUCGAUGUUCGGCUCGUUGGUUCGUGGGAAAAUGAUUAUAUUUCAAUUUUGUAUUUAUAUCAAAUCAGCUUCGUUGUUGAAUGGGAGAAAAAAUUAUUUUCUUAUAAAAUUGCCCUCCAACGUAAACGGCUCUUUUCAAUGUUGAUCGUAGAACCCUUCGAAAAAUUAAAUUCUUGAAAGAGAAUUUCACGACAACGUGGAACAAAAAAAUAACAGGUGACGUGAAGAUAUUAUGAUAUUUUGAAUACACGAACAAAUUACAUUUUAUUCAAUUUUGCCUACGUAACGUCAGGAAAUACUUCGAAAAUCGAUAUGGAGCGCCGUUAAAAAAUAAUCGAAUGUAUUCGAUGUUUGAAAUUUACGACGGUCAUACGGCGUACGCGAUGUGCCAGCGUAUCUUUUGAAAACGCGUUGAUCUAUAGCAACAAGCUGAGACUAAAGCAAGCGCGUGAGACCGGAAGUGUAGCUAGGCAGGUAGUGCAUCAAGCGAACGACCACGAAGAGCGGUCAGGUUUCGUCGCAUAUUACAUUUCACCUGGUCGAAAAUUCGUUUCUGGCUGAAACGCGUUCGCGGAUUCGCGCUGCCUGGCUGGAUUAAUUUCUGCGAGUUUUUGGCGUACCCGAGCGAUGUCUCGUGGCCCGGGUUGAGAGGUCCACGCAAAUAUCGGUCGGAUGGCGUGCAAUUCGGUGACAAAGCGAAUUCCAUCGACCGGGGCCCCUUUAGGCUUUUCAUUUGUAAGCCUUAGUUUUCCAGGCGUGUUCUAUCGCUUUUCAAUCGGAGCCCACGCAGCUGGCGAAUGCGAGCUACGAAUGAUGGGGCGCAGAAUUUUUAGAUGGUAUUUUCGCAGGAUUGCCGCGGCAUCGCUGGAAGAGUGGUCAUUUCCAUAACGGGAAAAACAGCAGUUUCAAAUUUUAAGAUAUACCACAAAGGCAUCCUUCUUUUAAUCUUUUAUUUCGAUAGGAUGUUUAGUUACAUGGGAACGAAACGAAACUUUUAUGAUUUUUGUGUUACUCGUUUUUACGUUCGCUUUAUUUACAAGCUAUUUGUAAGUCGUAACGUGUUUGUAAUAUAUGACAGGGUAAUCUUUCUAUUACGUUUGUAUACCACGCAUUCGUUACUUUACACAAUGCCUACGAGAAAGGGCAAUUGUUGUCGGAGACGUAUUAAAUUAGUCACUGUCACGUAGGUUGUUCAAAACAAUGCGACGCUUGCAGCAAUUUUAAAAGAAUACUAAGAUAAAGUGAGACGUCAUAUAUUCAUUUGAAACACUUGAAAGUGGCUCUAUGAGCGUAAAAAUACUGCGUGUCACGAAGCGAGUAAAAAGUACGCGAAUUAAAUCUACCUUGAGAGAAAUUUACAUCAUAUACGUAUUUCUCUCUAUCGUUAUCGUUUGAAGAAGUCAGAUUGAUAAAGCUGAUCCUCUAUUCGCCAAACGAUAAUUAAAUUUUAAAGAAUAUUCAGACGAAAAAGUUUAAGAAUGCCGAGCAAUAGUCACGUAACGCUCUUGUAGUAAACUGCCCGUAUUUUCUACUAAUUUCUGAGUAGCUUAAAGUAGUAAAAUGAUAUGCAAACGUAAUAUAUAAAACUAUAGACAAAUUUGAGAUUUCUAUUCUAACGAAUGAUACACAUGUACCUUUAUCAUGGAAUAACAAACAUGUAAGUAUGAUGUUUCAUAUCAAAUUACAUAAUUCAUGUCCUGUUAACGGUACUGCUUUACUGUAGCGCAAGAAAUUUAAGCUCAGACUUACUUGUUAUCAAACAGCUUCCAGUUUUGGCGACCUGAAGAAAUUGCUAGUUACGAGAGUGUUAAACCAUUAAGGGUUAAAUAAUGGAAUAUUUUGUGAAAAGUACUUCAACGUAGCAUCGGCGAAUUAUUUAUUAUUGUUUUAUAUAGGAAGAACGCAUGCAGCAAUGUCAGAUACUUUAGAAAAGUUCAUUACACAAAUUACAGGCAUACAACAAAGAUUUUCGUGACUUGGUAAACUAUAUUUUAUCAUAUUUCUAGAAACAGGUAUUUCCUCGCGCUCUAUAAAAUUACAAGUGAAAGAACGAAGACAAAAGUAGCGAUGGAAGAAACAUCGAGCGCAUAGUUCUUUGUAACUCAAUAAUACGAUGCGAAUGAAGCUAACAUUGAUUUCUCAUGAGACAAUAAUAAGACCGUCAUCUGAUAAUUAAACAACUAGAAAGAAAUACAAAGAAUUUCCAUUAAUAACUGACGAAGCAACAUUAAUUUGAGUAAAAAUAUCAUCUAACUGAAAUAGCACGCAAUUCCGAAUGCAAACGCACGUAAGAGAUUGAAUAAAGCGCGCUACUGGCAAUGUAUUUUCUGUCAAGCCGAUAUUGCAAUUGGUUUGCCGAGACACGAGGCUUUAAAAUGUCUCAUUUAAAAUAUACAGAUUAUCGAGUGGCUAUUGAAAAUUCCGCAGACAGUAUGACCCACUUUUUCUCCUUGGAAAUACGUACAAACCUGUACCAAUGCAACGGUAGUAAAAAGAUGCUUACUAAGCGUCUGCCACUGACCACCGUACGCUGGCCGGGUUUGUGGUGGAUCAUUGGCAACGUGCAAGCCAGAGCGUAAAGCAAAAUGCUUGAAAUUACGAAUAUUUCGCGAAGAAAACUCAUAUCGAGACUGUAACAAAAACUGUUUUAGGAAACAGAUUAUUUCGCGUUUAAUGGAUUCUAUUACAAUAUGUUGCGAUAAUUUAUAGGGAAAUUUUGCGAGAGCUCUUCUGCUCUGUCUGGUUCUUAUCACUGAUUACCCGAUAAUAGAUUUAUGGAUAUAGAGAUUAGAAUAGAGGCUUAGUAGGUUUUACUAGAUUUAUGGUUAAUUAUGAAUUUAUGAAUGUGAAGAUUAAAACAGAUAAGAUUCGUUAAUUUGUUAAAUUUAUUUGGCACGAGGCAAUAUUAUAGGUGCAAUGCUGUAUUUUAUUAAUAUUCAAUUUAUGCAUCCGAACGCGUACAGGUGUUUUAAAGAGUCGAUGGGAACGUAAACGAGACAGUCUGGGCAAUUCGUUGAAUAUUCUUUUGUUGUUGAAUGGAGAGGAACGAGGGCAAACAAAGGAAUGAUAAUUUAAGUGAGUUCUCCGGCAUACACAAUGAGAUGAAUACAGCUCCUCUUCUUUGUUACGCCGAUACCCAUUACUUAUGUAACUUGUGAGUGUUCAGAGCAAAACGGUAACUAAAAAUUGCGAACAAGUAGCGCUGCCUGCGAUAUAUGUAACAAUGACAAUAUGUUCGAUAAAAUGUGCGAUCUCUGCAUUUCACACCGCGUAAAAUAUAAACUUAGAGCUUUCUGUGAGAUUUUCUCUUGCUUACGUACAAGCAGCAACGUUUCAUCGAAGUGGACGCGCGCGACACUCGAAACGACGUCUAUCCGUACUAAGCCGAAGCAAAGAAAAUAUUUCCACUAACUGUCAGAGCAUCGAGCGACGUAUCCGGAUACAUCGUAACUGUCGCGCUUCCAUAUCGCUUGCGCAGCAAACCGCAGCCAUUGUGUGUAUCCAUCAACCAUUUCUCCAUCCAGGAGAAAGGGAACCGUCUGAUUAUCGAUCUGGCAGCAUCGUUGACGGAUCGCGUUAUUGACAAUGCACGUCGUGCCCGGAUCCAGACAAGUUUGCGUUACCUAUAGAUUAUGUCUGAUGAGUUAGAGAGCAGUCCAGCUUGAGUCAACCUCGCGAGAACCACUGACUAUGUGAUUUUCUGUGUUCCAUCGUGCCAUUUACACGCGGGAAGUCGUUCGUUUCGCUAUUUAGAUCACGCGGAUUGCUUUUCUAUUCGAAGUCGAGAUCCACUCUGUAUAUCAAUGAUGGACAUGAACGGCGAAAAAUAUCGGAAGAAACCGCCAGAACUACGUGCACGAUCGAUGAAGUUUUCGAGUUCAUUGAUGGGCUUGUAUCUUUUAUCGAUCGUACACUGAAACAGUACUUGACUUGAAGUUUCAGACAUUUUAUUUGGAACUUCACUACGGCAAAAUAAUAAUAAUAAUCUAUUGUCGCUUAGCGAUAUUCCUCCAUAUUUGUCCCUAUUGCUUCGAGUGAUGUAGGAUGUGUUUGUUUAUCAUUGAUUGAACUCUACUCAUGUAUAUAUAUAUAUAUAUGUAUAUGCGUGUAUGUAUGUUUACCGUUCUGUGAAAUUGGUUUGUUUAAUCGUAUAUCAUUUGUGGCCAAGAUAUGCUCUCGACGUGUUAUAUUUUCCACAUUUCCUGCGUUUUUACAAAGUUACACGAAUGUUUCAUAAAGAAGCGAUCAUUUUGAUGGUGACGAGGAACACUUUAAUUGGAAAUUUGUCGUCUAUGAAUUAAAAAUAUUUCUGAUAACAACAAUAAUAAUAAUAGUAAUAAUAAUUCCUUUCAUUAGAAGGUAUAUUCUUCUAAUUUCAUUUAUGUUUCUAUCGGAUUUCUAUGUAUCGCAUCCCCAUAAGCGAAAAUGAAGAAAUUCAACGAAUAACGUAAUUGCACAAGAAAAGAAAAAGAUUAAAAGCGUACGAUGAUACCACGACUCGAAGAUGUCGGCUCCAGAAGCUGUUUUUUCUUGGACGAUUACCCUUUGAAUCGAUCAACUUUUAUCGCAACUUUUCCGCCUUUUAAAGCAACGAACGCGUGAAAAUGUUUCAAUUAGGCAGGGUGUUCACAUCUUUGCAAAAGUUUAAGGCCUUACAGUUUGGUUGAGCGUGAAGAACGUCUAGGCAGCAGCUUUUUCCCAGACACGAUGUUCUCGUUGCACCUCUGAGAAUUUAAGUAGGUCGCCGUUUCCUCGUGGUCAUUCGGUCGAAGACAGAUCAGCAAAUUUUUUUCACUCGUUCAAUCCCAUAGAUCACCGAAAACUAUCGAUAAAUCAACACCGUGCUCUGGAAUCUUUGCGCUCGAAGCUCCCCAUAGAAUUUUAAUGAUUUCUCCGAUAACGCGAAUAUGUCGUUUUAUAUGUACAGUUUCGAGUAUGCGCUGCAGCGUACAAAUAACAAUUUGUUUACCAAUGUGCAA